rnacentral:rRNA from 1 species
CUGCGCAGCCGUCGCUAAGACGAUGUGAAAUCCCGAGCCUACUGGGAACUGCAUGGUGACUGCGAGCUAGAGUGUGCAGAGGGGGGUAGAAUUCACGUGUAGCAGUGAAAUGCGUAGAGAUGUGGAAGGAAUACCGAUGGCGAAGGCAGCCCCCUGGACUAACACUGACGCUCAUGCACGAAAGCGUGAGGAAGCAAACAGGAUUAGAUACCCUGGUAGUCCACGCCCUAAACGAUGUCAACUAGUUGUUGGGGAUUCAUUUCCUUAGUAACGUAGCUAACGCGUGAAGUUGACCGCCUGGGGAGUACGGUCACAAGAUUAAAACUCAAAGGAAUUGACGGGGACCCGCACAAGCGGUGGAUGAUGUGGAUUAAUUCGAUGCAACGCGAAAAACCUUACCUACCCUUGACAUGGACGGAAUCUCGCUGAGAGGUGAGAGUGCUCGAAAGAGAACCGUCGCACAGGUGCUGCAUGGCUGUCGUCAGCUCGUGUCGUGAGAUGUUGGGUUAAGUCCCGCAACGAGCGCAACCCUUGUCUCUAGUU